ensembl:snoRNA small nucleolar RNA, C/D box 97
CUGCCCGAUGAUUAUAAAUAAGACGCGUUAUUAAGAGGACUUAAUGCUGGAGCUCUUCACCUUCUUCUUUCUUUUCUGUACUUCCUUUUUCUUUCUUUGGAUGUCCAGCGUCCUAUGAGCGGAAGAUUAUGAGAUAUGAGGGCAA